rnacentral:rRNA from 1 species
GACGAACGCUGGCGGCGUGCUUAACACAUGCAAGUCGAGCGAUGAAGCUUCUUCGGAAGCGGAUUAGCGGCGGACGGGUGAGUAACACGUGGGCAACCUGCCUCAUAGAGGGGAAUAGCCUUCCGAAAGGAAGAUUAAUACCGCAUAAGAUUGUAAUAUCGCAUGAUAUAGCAAUUAAAGGAGUAAUCCGCUAUGAGAUGGACCCGCGUCGCAUUAGCUAGUUGGUGAGGUAACGGCUCACCAAGGCGACGAUGCGUAGCCGACCUGAGAGGGUGGUCGACACCAUUGGGACUGAUACACGGCCCAGACUCCUGCGGGAGGCAGCAGUGUGGAAUAUUGCACAAUGGGGGAAACCCUGAUGCAGCAACGCCGCGUGAGUGAUGACGGUCUUCGGAUUGUAAAGCUCUGUCUUCAGGGACGAUAAUGACGGUACCUGAGGAGGAAGCCACGGCUAACUACGUGCCAGCAGCCGCCGUAA